rnacentral:rRNA from 1 species
AGGAUGAACGCUAGCUACAGGCUUAACACAUGCAAGUCGAGGGCAGCAUUGGGUAGCAAUACUCAGAUGGCGACCGGCGCACGGGUGAGUAACACGUAUCCAACCUGCCGCUUACUCGGGGAUAGCCUUUCGAAAGAAAGAUUAAUACCCGAUGGUAUAAAGAGUUCGCAUGUUCUCUUUAUUAAAGAAUUUCGGUAAGCGAUGGGGAUGCGUUCCAUUAGAUAGUUGGCGGGUAACGGCCCACCAAGUCUACGAUGGAUAGGGGUUCUGAGAGGAAGGUCCCCCACAUUGGAACUGAGACACGGUCCAAACUCCUACGGGAGGCAGCAGUGAGGAAUAUUGGUCAAUGGACGAGAGUCUGAACCAGCCAAAAGUAGCGUGAAGGAUGACUGCCCUAUGGGUUGUAAACUUCUUUUAUAAGGGAAUAAAGUGAGGGACGUGUCCCUUUUUGUAUGUACCUUAUGAAUAAGGAUCGGCUAACUCCGUGCCAGCCGCCGC